rnacentral:rRNA from 1 species
UACGUAGGUGGCGAGCGUUAUCCGGAAUUAUUGGGCGUAAAGAGCGCGCAGGUGGUUGAUUAAGUCUGAUGUGAAAGCCCACGGCUUAACCGUGGAGGGUCAUUGGGAACUGGUCGACUUGAGUGCAGAAGAGGGAAGUGGAAUUCCAUGUGUAGCGGUGAAAUGCGUAGAGAUAUGGAGGAACACCAGUGGCGAAGGCGGCUUCCUGGUCUGUAACUGACACUGAGGCGCGAAAGCGUGGGGAGCAAACAGGAUUAGAUACCCU